CACAGGUGGAAGAGGAGAGGAUACUAUGCUCCAGCUCCAGCAUGAAGAUAUCUGCCUGGAGGGAACUGUGACAGAUAAUGUGUUCAGGUCUCUCCUGUGACAUCCAGAACCCUCAGUUCUCUUUAGGCAACAAUGUCUGAUGUUCCCUGUGAUCCUAUGGGCAGUGUGAAGAACUGGACAGCCCAGCUCACCACGCCACCACCCUCUCCCUGCUCUGCCCUGUGUUCCCUUCCACAGCCAACCUUCCUGGUCCAGACAGGCAGGAGGGGACAUCUCCAUCCUGUCAGCUCCCUGCUGCCCUGAGCUGCAGCUCCUCACUUCCCCACUGAAAGUGAGAAUCUGAAUGUGAACUUGAUUGUUCAUGUCCUUGAUCUGACAGGUUGAUUGGCAGGAAAAGAAAAGAAUUGAGAAUAUUAGAGUUUUAUAGAGUAAAUAAAUGGCAAAUGUUGAACCUUC